ACAGCAGUAGCCACGGUAAUACGUAGGGUGCGAGCGUUAAUCGGAAUUACUGGGCGUAAAGCGUGCGCAGGCGGUUAUAUAAGACAGAUGUGAAAUCCCCGGGCUCAACCUGGGACCUGCAUUUGUGACUGUAUAGCUAGAGUACGGUAGAGGGGGAUGGAAUUCCGCGUGUAGCAGUGAAAUGCGUAGAUAUGCGGAGGAACACCGAUGGCGAAGGCAAUCCCCUGGACCUGUACUGACGCUCAUGCACGAAAGCGUGGGGAGCAAACAGGAUUAGAGACCCCCGUAGUCCCUGUCUCUUAUAC
rnacentral:rRNA from 1 species